rnacentral:rRNA from 1 species
AGGGUUUGAUUAUGGCUCAGGACGAACGCUGGCGGCGUGCUUAACACAUGCAAGUCGAACGGAGAACAAAGGGGCUUGCCCCUGAGUUCUUAGUGGCGGACUGGUGAGUAACGCGUGAGCAACCUGCCCUAUACAUUGGGAUAACAGUUGGAAACGGCUGCUAAUACCGAAUAUGACCACAGCACCGCAUGGUGCAGGGGUGAAAGGGUUUACUGGUAUAGGAUGGGCUCGCGUCUGAUUAGCUAGUUGGUGAUGUAAUGGACCACCAAGGCAACGAUCAGUAGCCGACCUGAGAGGGUGAUCGGCCACACUGGAACUGAGAUACGGUCCAG